rnacentral:rRNA from 1 species
AUUGAACGCUGGCGGCAGGCUUAACACAUGCAAGUCGAGCGGGGACUUCGGUCCUAGCGGCGAACGGGUGAGGAAUGCUUGGGAAUCUGCCCAGUAGCGGGGGAUAACGUUUCGAAAGGAACGCUAAUACCGCAUACGCCCUACGGGGGAAGGGGGGGGAUCUUCGGACCUCUCACUAUUGGAUGAGCCCAAGUCGGAUUAGCUAGUUGGUGGGGUAAAGGCCUACCAAGGCGACGAUCCGUAGCUGGUCUGAGAGGAUGAUCAGCCACACUGGAACUGAGACACGGUCCAGACUCCUACGGGAGGCAGCAGUGGGGAAUAUCGGACAAUGGGCGAAAGCCUGAUCCAGCCAUGCCGCGUGUGUGAAGAAGGCCUUCGGGUUGUAAAGCACUUUAAGCGAGGAGGAAUGGCUCUUGGUUAAUAACCUUGAGCAGUGACGUUACUCGCAGAAUAAGCACCGGCUAACUCUGUGCCAGCCGCCGCAGUAAGAC